UACGGGGGGGGCAAGCGUUGUUCGGAAUUACUGGGCGUAAAGGGCUCGUAGGCGGCCAACUAAGUCAGACGUGAAAUCCCUCGGCUUAGCCGGGGAACUGCGUCUGAUACUGGAUGGCUUGAGUUUGGGAGAGGGAUGCGGAAUUCCAGGUGUAGCGGUGAAAUGCGUAGAUAUCUGGAGGAACACCGGUGGCGAAGGCGGCAUCCUGGACCAACACUGACGCUGAGGAGCGAAAGCCAGGGGAGCAAACGGG
rnacentral:rRNA from 1 species